GGACUAUGGAGAGCCACCAUUGAAUUCUACCGUCAAUGUUAAAAUUGAAGUGAAUGACGUGAAUGAUGUGAAACCAAAGUUUUUUACUGAUCCUUAUCUGGCUCAAGUUCCUGAAAAUUUAGACCCGGGUUAUAAAGUUACCCAGAUAGCAGCCUACGACCCUGACCUCGGCAAGAAUGGACUCGUUUUCUAUAAGCUGGGGAAAGGC